rnacentral:rRNA from 1 species
CCCUUAGAUGUUCUGGGCUGCACGCGCGCUACAAUGAUGCAUUCAACGAGCAUAGCUGCCUCGAAAGAAAGCGGCGAAUCUUUUGAAGCUGCAUCGUGACGGGGAUAGAUGAUUGUAAUUAUUCAUCUUCAACGAGGAAUUCCUAGUAAGUGCAAGUCAUCAACUUGCGCUGAUUACGUCCCUGCCCUUUGUACACACCGCCCGUCGCUCCUACCGAUUGAAUGAUCCGAUGAAUAUCAUGGAUUGAGGAUGCAAGUAGGUUCGCCUAUCUUCAUCUUCGAGAAGUGAAGUAAAUCUUAUCAUUUAGAGGAAGGAGAAGUCGUAACA